GCAAUGAAUUUCGCUCUUCCUCGAUAAAAAUGCAUGUAAAUGCAACACUUGAGUAACUGCUCAAUUCUCUUCUCAAUAAACCUAAAACAGCUCAACAUUUGCUCAGUUGUUUAUUCCCUAACAUCUUCAUAUAUAACCGCCGAAGAGAUUUUAAUUUCUACUGGGUUUGCCAUGAAAAGAGCAUUGUUGUCUGAGUCGCCAAAAUGUUGCUCUUAAAUAAUGUAAACCCACUCAAACUCAUAUUUUCACUCCAAACUCAACGCAGUCAAUGCGCAUGCCGGCGACACAUACUCUGCAAGUCGUUGUUGCACUUCCUAUUUGCGGUCCAGAAAAACUUAUUUCUUUAUACUUCGCCUUUUCCCUUUCUCUCGAUUCUAAGCAUUUACACUCAACUGCCGUGCACUCUGUGUACCUAUAUUUAUCAUACAUUUUUACUUCCUCAGCUGUUUUUGCCUUACCAAAAUGGCAACUUCUUUCACCCCCUUUCAGACCACUUUUUUACCGUCUUUUGCUUCAUACUGUUAUGUACUAUAUUCAUUGAUUCUGCAAGCUUUAUAUGUACCUACACAGCAGUAUUUCUUUACUUAGUAUGUACUUUGUGUGCUGUUUUUUUAAGAUUUAAAAUGUCUCCCGCAUAGCUCGAUUUCCUUUCUUUUUUUUUUGUGCAGACAAAGAGGCAUUUAAGUAAGCUGACACUGGCAAAGUGUUUGAUAUCCGCCGUAAGCCAGCUUCAGGCUAAAGCCAAAAUGUGCUAUUGAGAAUGAAUCUUGAAGAUUUCCUGAAAAGCAGGCACUGUUACGCACCACAGCAUGACACGAUUUUAGAAAGAUUUACCAUGAAAUUAUAAUGGACUUAACUGGCAGCCAGAAGCGCCUAAAACACCAUAAAUAAGAUGCCGUACGGUGUUGUUGAUGCGUAGACCCAUAUGAGCGUUUAAAUGAAAAGGCCCGUCUACUAUCAUGAAUCGAAUCUUGGAGCCAUACCUUGAAACGCAGCUUCUUAACAAAAUGAUUAUACAUACGGUGACCAUCCGUCCGGUUUUGUACGGCACAGUCGAAAUUUCCGGGGAGGUAAAAAUCCCGCGCGUAAAACAUGAAGUUAUCGAAUAAUAUCCUAUAAUUUGGUGAUGUUACUACUGAAUAUUUAUGUACAUCUGUAUGCGAUUUCACAAAAUAUCGAAAAACGUAUGUCAAAUAAGGAUUUUGGUUCAGGGCUAAUAAAUCUAAAAUUAUUGGA